GCUGGGUGUGGUGGCGCACACCUGUAGUCCCAGCUACUUGGGAGGCUGAGGCACGAGAAUCACUUGAACCCAGGAGGCGGAGGUUGCAGUGAGCCAAGAUGACACCACUGCAUUCCAGCCUGGGCGACAGAGGGAUAUUGUGUCUCAA
rnacentral:SRP_RNA from 1 species